GGGGAUUUAGCUCAGUGGUAGAGUGCUUGCCUAGGAAGCGCAAGGUCCUGGGUUCGACCCCCAGCUCCCCCC
rnacentral:tRNA from 1 species